rnacentral:rRNA from 1 species
AGUCGAACGGAAUCCAUGGUGUAGCAAUACACCGGAAGAUUUAGUGGCGAACGGGUGAGGAUCACGUGAGAAACCUGCCCCAGACUUUGGGAUAACAAUUGGAAACGAUUGCUAAUACCGAAUGACGUCGGAGAACCGCAUGGUUCACUGACGAAAGGAAAUCCGGUUUGGGAGGGUCUCGCGGCCUAUCAGCUUGUUGGUGGAGUAAUGGCCUACCAAGGCAACGACGGGUAGCUGGUCUGAGAGGAUGAUCAGCCACACUGGGACUGAGACACGGCCCAGACUCCUACGGGAGGCAGCAGUGGGGAAUCUUGCGCAAUGGGCGAAAGCCUGACGCAGCAACGCCGCGUGCGGGAUGAAGGCCUUCGGGCUGUAAACCGCUUUCAGCAGGAACGAAAAUGACGGUACCUGCAGAAGAAGGAGCGGCCAACUACGUGCCAGCAGCCGCGGUGACACGUAGGCUCCAAGCGUUGUCCGGAUUUAUUGGGCGUAAAGAGCUCGUAGGCGGUUUAGUAAGUCGGGUGUUAAAACUCUGGGCUCAACCCCGGAGAGGCCAUCCGAUACUGCUGUGACUUGAGUUCAGGAGGGGAGCGGGGAAUUCCUAGUGUAGCGGUGAAAUGCGCAGAUAUUAGGAGGAACACCGGUGGCGAAAGCGCCGCUCUGGACUGAAACUGACGCUGAGGAGCGAAAGCAUGGGUAGCAAACAGGAUUAGAUACCCUGGUAGUCCAUGCCGUAAACGGUGGGCACUAGGUGUGGGUUCCAACUAACGGGAUCCGCGCCGUCGCUACGCAUUAAGUGCCCGCCUGGGGAGUACGGUCGCAGACUAAACUCAAGGAAUUGACGGGGGCCCGCACAGCAGCGGAGCGUGUGCUUAAUUCGAUGCUACGCGAGAACCUUACCUGGGUUGACAUGUUUGGAAA